rnacentral:lncRNA from 1 species
UGACAAGUAUGUAUUUAUUAUUUAGUUAUUGGAUUUUAUCAUCUCUAACUAUUGGUUAUUGGCCGCUGCCACUCUUAACUGUCACUUUGACGGUGACAGCAGCCAAUAGCCAAUAGUUGUUCAUGAUAAAAUCUAAUAACCGAUGAAAAUUGAUACACCAUCCUAACGGUGAAAUAAUUGAAUAAAUAUUUACAUGUUACAUAAAAAGUACAAACCAAUACAACUAUAGACUAUAGUAACUAUUCUUCACAAAACAACCACAAAAUUGAUCAAACAACUUAAAACAAUCUGUAUACAUCAACCAACAAUAUCUAGAACCUAAUCAAAUUUACAAAAAUCAUCCUCCUCCGACGAAAUCGGAACCCCCCUAGUGGACGAAGAAGGAGACGCCUCGCCACCAGGAGGCAUAUCCGCGAUGGCAGCAAACACGCGGCGAAUACUAACUGAUCGCGCAGGUUUAAAGCUAAACGACCUCGCCAUCUUCGACUUAGAGAACAAAUUCGAGGAGUUAGACAGGAUGAGAUAAACUAGAGCUUGAACAAUCACGAAAACCGCACCUUUGAUCAAUAGAUUAUCGAAUGAAAACUCGAUCAUUGUUAUGAAUGGUAGUGUAAGUCCUUAAAUGGAAGUUGGAGUGUGUAU